AGAGUUUGAUCNUGGCUCAGGACGAACGCUGGCGGCGUGCUUAAUACAUGCAAGUCGAGCGAGGUUACUGUUUCGGAUCCCUUCGGGGUGAAGAAGCUUUAACCUAGCGGCGGACGGGUGAGUAACGCGUGGGUAACCUACCCCAAAGUCCCGGAUAACAGCGGGAAACCGCUGCUAAUACCGGAUGCCUUUACCUUGGGGCAUCUUGAGGUAAAGAAAGGUAACGCUUUGGGAUGGGCCCGCGUCCCAUUAGCUAGUUGGUGAGGUAACGGCUCACCAAGGCGACGAUGGGUAGCCGGCCUGAGAGGGUGGACGGCCACACUGGGACUGAGACACGGCCCAGACUCCUACGGGAGGCAGCAGUAGGGAAUAUUGCGCAAUGGACGGAAGUCUGACGCAGCGACGCCGCGUGAGCGAUGAAGGUCUUCGGAUCGUAAAGCUCUGUCCUUGGGGAAGAAGGCGAAAGCUUGACGGUACCCAAGAAGAAAGCCCCGGCUAACUACGUGCCAGCAGCCGCGGUAAUACGUAGGGGGCGAGCGUUGUCCGGAAUUACUGGGCGUAAAGGGUGCGUAGGCGGCCCUUUAAGUCGGAUGUGAAAGCCCGCGGCUUAACCGCGGAAUGGCAUUCGAAACUGGAGGGCUUGAGUGUCGGAGAGGGUAGUGGAAUUCCCAGUGUAGCGGUGAAAUGCGUAGAUAUUGGGAGGAACACCAGUGGCGAAGGCGACUACCUGGACGAUAACUGACGCUGAGGCACGAAAGCUAGGGGAGCAAACAGGAUUAGAUACCCUGGUAGUCCUAGCCGUAAACGAUGGGUACUAGGUGUGGGUGGUUUCGAUACCAUCCGUGCCGUAGUUAACGCAUUAAGUACCCCGCCUGGGGAGUACGUGCGCAAGCAUGAAACUCAAAGGAAUUGACGG
rnacentral:rRNA from 1 species